rnacentral:tRNA from 1 species
GGGGAUUUAGCUCAGCGGUAGAGCGCUUGCCUAGCAAGCGCAAGGCCCUGGGUUCGGUUCCCAGCUCUG